GGCCCAGAUCGUUUACCGUGAAAAAAUUAGAGUGUUCAAAGCAGGCAGAUCCAAUUUUCUGCCACCGAAUACAUUAGCAUGGGAUAAUGGAAUAGGACCCUGUCCUCCUAUUUUCAGUUGGUUUUGGCAGCGCGAGGACUAGGGUAAUGAUUAAUAGGGAUAGUUGGGGGCAUUAAUAUUUAAUUGUCAGAGGUGAAAUUCUUGGAUUUAUGAAAGAUUAACUUCUGCGAAAGCAUCUGCCAAGGAUGUUUUCAUUAAUCAAGAACGAAAGUUAGGGGAUCGAAGACGAUCAGAUACCGUCGUAGUCUUAACCAUAAACGAUGCCGACCAGCGAUUAGGAGACGUUGAAUACAAAACACCACCAUCGGCGCGGUCGUCCUUGGCGUCUCGGUUUCGGCCGGGGCGCGGGGAUGGCUUAGCCCGGUGGCACCGGUGAAUGACUCCCUAGCAGCUUGUGAGA
rnacentral:rRNA from 1 species